rnacentral:rRNA from 1 species
CAGUAGCCGCGGUAAUACGGAGGGUGCAAGCGUUAAUCGGAAUUACUGGGCGUAAAGCGCACGCAGGCGGUCUGUCAAGUCAGAUGUGAAAUCCCCGGGCUUAACCUGGGAACUGCAUUUGAAACUGGCAGGCUAGAGUCUUGUAGAGGGGGGUAGAAUUCCAGGUGUAGCGGUGAAAUGCGUAGAGAUCUGGAGGAAUACCGGUGGCGAAGGCGGCCCCCUGGACAAAGACUGACGCUCAGGUGCGAAAGCGUGGGGAGCAAACAGGAUUAGAGACCCCUGUAGUCCCUGUCUCUUAUAC